CCUACGGGAGGCAGCAGUGGGGAACAUUGGGCAAUGGAGGAAACUCUGACCCAGCGACGCCGCGUGCGGGAUGAAGGCCUUCGGGUUGUAAACCGCUUUCAGUAGGGAAGAAGCGAAAGUGACGGUACCUACAGAAGAAGCACCGGCUAACUAUGUGCCAGCAGCCGCGGUAAUACAUAGGGUGCAAGCGUUGUCCGGAAUUAUUGGGCGUAAAGAGCUCGUAGGUGGUUCGUCACGUCGGAUGUGAAAAUCUGGGGCUCAACCCCAGACCUGCAUUCGAUACGGGCGAUCUAGAGUGUGGUAGGGGAGACUGGAAUUCCUGGUGUAGCGGUGGAAUGCGCAGAUAUCAGGAGGAACACCAAUGGCGAAGGCAGGUCUCUGGGCCAUUACUGACACUGAGGAGCGAAAGCGUGGGGAGCGAACAGGAUUAGAUACCCUGGUAGUCCACGCCGUAAACGGUGGGCACUAGUUGUGGGAACCUUCCACGGUUUUCUGCGACGCGAGCUACGACAUUAAGUACGCCCGCCGUCGGGUAGGUACGACGUCGCGAGAAGUUAAACUACAACGUAAGUAGUAGACGCGAGAGACGCGACGACGACGACGACGGAGGAGG
rnacentral:rRNA from 1 species